rnacentral:rRNA from 1 species
CCUACGGGUGGCAGCAGUGGGGAAUAUUGGACAAUGGGGGCAACCCUGAUCCAGCCAUGCCGCGUGUGUGAAGAAGGCCCUCGGGUUGUAAAGCACUUUCAGUGAGGAAGAACGCCUGGUGGUUAAUACCCAUCAGGAAAGACAUCACUCACGGAAGAAGCACCGGCUAACUCCGUGCCAGCAGCCGCGGUAAUACGGAGGGUGCGAGCGUUAAUCGGAAUUACUGGGCGUAAAGCGCGCGUAGGUGGCUUGAUAAGCCGGUUGUGAAAGCCCCGGGCUCAACCUGGGAACGGCAUCCGGAACUGUCAAGCUAGAGUGCAGGAGAGGAAGGUAGAAUUCCCGGUGUAGCGGUGAAAUGCGUAGAGAUCGGGAGGAAUACCAGUGGCGAAGGCGGCCUUCUGGACUGACACUGACACUGAGGUGCGAAAGCGUGGGUAGCAAACAGGAUUAGAUACCCGAGUAGUC